CAGUCGCCGCGGGAAUACGUAGGUGGCAAGCGUCGUCCGGAAUUAUUGGGCGUAAAGGGCUCGCAGGCGGUUUCUUAAGUCUGAUGUGAAAGCCCCCGGCUCAACCGGGGAGGGUCAUUGGAAACUGGGAAACUUGAGUGCAGAAGAGGAGAGUGGAAUUCCACGUGUAGCGGUGAAAUGCGUAGAGAUGUGGAGGAACACCAGUGGCGAAGGCGACUCUCUGGUCUGUAACUGACGCUGAGGAGCGAAAGCGUGGGGAGCGAACAGGAUUAGAUACCCCGGUAGUCCCUGUCUCUUAUAC
rnacentral:rRNA from 1 species